GACGAACGCUGGCGGCGUGCUUAACACAUGCAAGUCGAACGGAAAGGCCCUGCUUUUGUGGGGUGCUCGAGUGGCGAACGGGUGAGUAACACGUGAGUAACCUGCCCUUGACUUUGGGAUAACUUCAGGAAACUGGGGCUAAUACCGGAUAGGAGCUCCUGCUGCAUGGUGGGGGUUGGAAAGUUUCGGCGGUUGGGGAUGGACUCGCGGCUUAUCAGCUUGUUGGUGGGGUAGUGGCUUACCAAGGCUUUGACGGGUAGCCGGCCUGAGAGGGUGACCGGCCACAUUGGGACUGAGAUACGGCCCAGACUCCUACGGGAGGCAGCAGUGGGGAAUAUUGCACAAUGGGCGGAAGCCUGAUGCAGCAACGCCGCGUGCGGGAUGACGGCCUUCGGGUUGUAAACCGCUUUCGCCUGUGACGAAGCGUGAGUGGCGGUAAUGGGUAAAGAAGCACCGGCUAACGACGUGC
rnacentral:rRNA from 1 species